rnacentral:lncRNA from 1 species
GAACAGGUACCAUUACUAAAAUGUUUUCAAGUUGAAAUGUAUGUACAAAUCAACAAAAAAAAAUAUAUGUUUUGAUACCAUAAAAAUAAUAUGUUAAAAGGAUAUAUUCUAAUAUAAAUGUAAUUAAAAAGAAUUCUAAUUAAAAUUAUUUUGAUCGCAAUUGAUAAGAUAUGUAGAUUAUGAUUAUCACAGUGAUAUAUAUUUGAUUAAUGAAUACAUAUAUUUAACUCAUGUACAGCAUAACAAACAAACAUAUUCAUAUGACUCUUAUUCAUUUUAAUAUUAUAAUUUUAGAAUCUAAAAAAAAAUUAUCCUAUUUAUUGAAAUUAUGUAGAUUAGAAUCAUAUCAUACAUUUGUACUACAAAAGAAUAUAAUUCAUCACUUUAAAAAAAGAACUGAACCAUGUUUUUGAAAUUCAAGUCAAGUACAAGGUUCAUACUUAUUUUGAAUCUUGAAUAUGCUACACUAAAGUUUAAUAUUUUGACUAUUACAGUGCAUAAAAGGUUAGCAAGUCAAUUUCGGGAAUUGUAUAUCAACCAUGUCAAAAAUCUCCAAAUAAACCCAAGUAUGUUUGUUUUGAAAUUUAUUGAAAAAAGAAGAAUGAAUUGAUUAACAAUUUAACAAUUCACUCAUAUACACUUUCUCAGAAAACUCAAACAAAUCCUGAGUGUGAAACAGAAAGAGGAUCAAGACAUCAUCUGUUCCAUUGGAAAUCUCACAGAAAGCUUGAGGAUGAUCAAAUUUUGGCGCACUCAGCAGUGGCACAAGGGGAGAGAAGUGCAGUACCGAAUAGAAGUAUACAUGGAAGGCACCAAUGCUGUCGAGCGGAGUAAAGUAGCAGUGGUGAAAACUGAAAACACAUUGACUGCUCUAAGAGCUGAAGAGAGACUUAAGAUAAGGCACAUUAAUCAAACCUAAGCACUGAAAAAACAAGCACAGCAAAGACCUCGAAUUAACACAUGCAUUCUAACGACAAGAAUCAUAGGCCUAAUGUGACAAAUUUUAGAGAUUAAGUGGAAUUGAACCAACUGAAAAGAAGGAAGGGGUAACUCUACCUUCCAAUCACAGAAGAUACAAUUAGGGUUUAGAGGGAGAAUUAAUGCUACUGUAUUGCAGAGAUCUUACGAGAGGCACAACAGAAACACAAAAUUCAGCGUGUUUGACGCCGUCACGGAAUCCUUAAUAAAAUUAAUCACCGACCUAGAUUAGGACUGCACAAUGAGCCUAAUUUUCAAAACAACCCGCAUCUCUACUUGCAGUCCUCUCCCAAAGGAACGACGUUACACGUACAUAGUAAGCAAAGUACAAACUCAGAAGGAAAAACAACUCCAACAACCCAAAAUAGAACGUACCAUUCAGCACAGGAGCAGCACACGGAGAGACAAAGGAACUCGCAGCUGAUUGCUAGGGAAGUUAAGUGGAGAGCGAUUGAAGGACCGACGAAAUCCAGAACUGGAGAGAGAAUUGCCCAAAAGUGAUGACGUGAAUGAUUUUCAAGUCAACUGUAAGAGAUGCAAGUGAAGACCUAUGAAUCGAACAUGCUAUGCUACAAAUAGCCUUGGAGGACCUUUUCAAGAAAUAACACAGAACAAGAACAUGGUGAAAAGAUUAACUGAUGAAAUAAGCGUACUUGGUCCCAGAUUGAUGAAAUUAAGCGAACAAGAGAUUACGACACUGUCAAAUACUCCUUUCAAGUCUAUAAAAAAACGAGCCUGUACAGUCUGAACUUAAUGGCGCGGGGUUCCAUUACUCCAUAACCCCAACUCAAAUAAGCUACACAUGGGCCAGGAAUUUCAUUAACACAUCUUUGCGCAUGAAACUCAGCACAAACCAUCAAGUGCCAAAUCCGACUUACAUUACCCAUCAAGUGCCAAAUCCGACUUACAUUACCAGCACUGCUAUGCUUCUACUCUCGUUUCAAUCAGCUCACUGAGCUCUCCAAGACGUGCAUACGCAACGCAAGCCAUAGAGUACCAUCGCAAAAAUUUGAAAAGGAAUCCAUCAAAACAUGGGACAGACAGGAAUAAGCAGAAACAACUACAAAAAUGUGGGAUAAUAGUAAUGCGCA